rnacentral:rRNA from 1 species
UACAGAGGUCCCAAGCGUUGUUCGGAUUCACUGGGCGUAAAGGGUGCGUAGGCGGUCGGGUAAGUCUGAUGUGAAAUCUCACAGCUUAACUGUGAAACUGCAUUGGAUACUAUCCGGCUCGAGGAAUGGAGGGGAGACUGGAAUACUUGGUGUAGCAGUGAAAUGCGUAGAUAUCAAGUGGAACACCAGUGGCGAAGGCGGGUUGCUGGGCUGACACUGACGCUGAGGCGCGAAAGCUAGGGGAGCGAACGGG